CGUGUAGGCGGCCUUGUAAGUCAGAUGUGAAAUACCUUGGCUCAACCAAAGAAGGGCAUUUGAAACUGCUUGGCUUGAGUACGGGAGGGGGAAGCGGAAUUCCCGGUGUAGAGGUGAAAUUCGUAGAUAUCGGGAGGAACACCGGUGGCGAAGGCGGCUUCCUGGACCGGUACUGACGCUGAGACGCGAAAGCGUGGGGAGCAAACAGGAUUAGAUACCCUGGUAGUCCACGCCCUAAACGUUGGGCACUAGGUGUUGCGGGUAUUGACCCCUGCAGUGCCGAAGCUAACGCAUUAAGUGCCCCGCCUGGGGAGUACGGCCGCAAGGUUAAA
rnacentral:rRNA from 1 species